rnacentral:rRNA from 1 species
CCUACGGGUGGCAGCAGUGAGGAAUAUUGGUCAAUGGACGAGAGUCUGAACCAGCCAAGUAGCGUGAAGGAUGACUGCCCUAUGGGUUGUAAACUUCUUUUAUAAAGGAAUAAAACGAGGCACGUGUGCCUUUUUGCAUGUACUUUAUGAAUAAGGAUCGGCUAACUCCGUGCCAGCAGCCGCGGUAAUACGGAGGAUCCGAGCGUUAUCCGGAUUUAUUGGGUUUAAAGGGAGCGUAGAUGGGUUGUUAAGUCAGUUGUGAAAGUUUGCGGCUCAACCGUAAAAUUGCAAUUGAUACUGGCAGUCGUGAGUACAGUUGAGGUAGGCGGAAUUCGUGGUGUAGCGGUGAAAUGCUUAGAUAUCACGAAGAACACCGAUUGCGAAGGCAGCUUACUAAACUGUGACUGACAUUGAUGCUCGAAAGUGUGGGUAUCAAACAGGAUUAGAUACCCUGGUAGUC